GCAGAGUAGGGGACUGCGCGUUUAGUGCCUGACCAACGGGGAGUUGUGGCAGGACGAAGUGGCCGCAUCAGGCGGCCCGCGGUGCGGCCCCCGCAUCCCACUGC
rnacentral:ncRNA from 1 species